rnacentral:rRNA from 1 species
CCCUUAGAGUUUGAUCCUGGCUCAGGAUGAACGCUAGCUACAGGCUUAACACAUGCAAGUCGAGGGGAAACGAUAGAGAAAGCUUGCUUUUUCUAGGCGUCGACCGGCGCACGGGUGAGUAACGCGUAUCCAACCUGCCUAUCACUUGGGGAUAACUUUGCGAAAGUAAGACUAAUACCCAAUGACGUCUCUAGAAGACAUCUGAAGGAGAUUAAAGAUUUAUCGGUGAUGGAUGGGGAUGCGUCUGAUUAGCUUGUUGGCGGGGUAACGGCCCACCAAGGCGACGAUCAGUAGGGGUUCUGAGAGGAAGGUCCCCCACAUUGGAACUGAGACACGGUCCAAACUCCUACGGGAGGCAGCAGUGAGGAAUAUUGGUCAAUGGGCGAGAGUCUGAACCAGCCAAGUAGCGUGCAGGAUGACGGCCCUAUGGGUUGUAAACUGCUUUUAUAAGGGAAUAAAGUGAGUCUCGUGAGACUUUUUGCAUGUACCUUAUGAAUAAGGACCGGCUAAUUCCGUGCCAGCAGCCGCGGUAAUACGGAAGGUCCGGGCGUUAUCCGGAUUUAUUGGGUUUAAAGGGAGCGUAGGCCGGAGAUUAAGCGUGUUGUGAAAUGUAGACGCUCAACGUCUGCACUGCAGCGCGAACUAGUUUCCUUGAGUACGCACAAAGUGGGCGGAAUUCGUGGUGUAGCGGUGAAAUGCUUAGAUAUCACGAAGAACUCCGAUUGCGAAGGCAGCUCACUGGAGCGCAACUGACGCUGAAGCUCGAAAGUGCGGGUAUCGAACAGGAUUAGAUACCCUGGUAGUCCGCACGGUAAACGAUGGAUGCCCGCUGUUGGUCUGAAUAGGUCAGCGGCCAAGCGAAAGCAUUAAGCAUCCCACCUGGGGAGUACGCCGGCAACGGUGAAACUCAAAGGAAUUGACG